AAUGAACGCUGGCGGCAUGCCUAACACAUGCAAGUCGAACGAGACCUUCGGGUCUAGUGGCGCACGGGUGCGUAACGCGUGGGAACCUGCCCUUAGGUUCGGAAUAACUCCCCGAAAGGGGUGCUAAUACCGGAUAAUGUCUUCGGACCAAAGAUUUAUCGCCUUUGGAUGGGCCCGCGUUGGAUUAGCUAGUUGGUAGGGUAAAAGCCUACCAAGGCGACGAUCCAUAGCUGGUCUGAGAGGAUGAUCAGCCACACUGGGACUGAGACACGGCCCAGACUCCUACGGGAGGCAGCAGUGGGGAAUAUUGGACAAAGGGCGAAAGCCUGAUCCAGCAAUGCCGCGUGAGUGAUGAAGGCCUUAGGGUUGUAAAGCUCUUUUACCCGGGAUGAUAAUGACAGUACCGGGAGAAUAAGCUCCGGCUAACUCCGUG
rnacentral:rRNA from 1 species